rnacentral:rRNA from 1 species
UAACAAUUGAGACAGGUGGUGCAUGGUUGUCGUCAGCUCGUGUCGUGAGAUGGUUGGGUUAACGUCCCGCAACGAGCGCAACCCUUGUGUUUUAGUUGCAAACAGGUCAAGCUGUGCACUCUAGACAGACUGCCGUGGACAACACGGAGGAAGGGUGGGGAUGACGUCAAAUCAUCAUCGCCCCUUAUGAUCUGGGCUACACACGUGCUACAAUGGCCGGUACAACGGGCAGCGAAGGAGCGAUCCGGAGCGAAUACCUAAAAAGCCGGUCCCAGUUCGGAUUGCAGGCUGAAACUCGCCUACAUGAAGUUGGAGUUGCUAGUAAUCGCGAAUCAGAAUGUCGCGGUGAAUGCGUUCCCGGGUCUU